CAGCAGCAGCCGCGGUAAUACGAAGGGUGCAAGCGUUAAUCGGAAUUACUGGGCGUAAAGCGUGCGUAGGCGGUGAGUUAAGUCUGCUGUGAAAUCCCCGGGCUCAACCUGGGAAUGGCAGUGGAUACUGGCUCGCUAGAGUGUGUCAGAGGAUGGUGGAAUUCCCGGUGUAGCGGUGAAAUGCGUAGAGAUCGGGAGGAACAUCAGUGGCGAAGGCGGCCAUCUGGGACAACACUGACGCUGAGGCACGAAAGCGUGGGGAGCAAACAGGAUUAGAUACCCCAGUAGUCCCUGUCUCUUAUAA
rnacentral:rRNA from 1 species